rnacentral:snRNA from 1 species
AGCCUCAACAGUAGUAAAGAAGUAAGUCCCACUGAGGCUUAGUCAUUGCACUCCGGAUGUGCUGACCCCUGUGAUUUCCCCAAAUGUGGGAAACUUGACUGCAUAAUUUGUGGUAGUGGGAGACUGUGUUCGCACUCUCCCCUA